rnacentral:tRNA from 3 species
CGGAACGUGGCGCAGCCCGGUAGCGCACUUGCUUGGGGUGCAAGGGGUCGCGGGUUCAAAUCCCGCCGUUCCGA